rnacentral:rRNA from 1 species
UACGGAAGGUCCGAGCGUUAUCCGGAAUUACUGGGCGUAAAGAGUUGCGUAGGUGGCAGGUAAAGCGAACAGUGAAAGGUCCCGGCUCAACCGGGGAUACAUUGUUCGAACUCACCAGCUAGAGCACAGUAGAGGUACCUGGAAUUCCCAGUGUAGGAGUGAAAUCCGUAGAUAUUGGGAGGAACACCGAUGGCGUAGGCAGGGUACUGGGCUGUUGCUGACACUAAGGCGCGAAAGCGUGGGGAGCGAACAGG